rnacentral:rRNA from 1 species
GUGUCAGCAGCCGCGGUAAUACGUAGGGUCCGAGCGUUGUCCGGAAUUAUUGGGCGUAAAGAGCUCGUAGGCGGUCUGUCGCGUCGGCUGUGAAAACACGGGGCUCAACUCCGUGCCUGCAGUCGAUACGGGCAGACUAGAGUUCGGUAGGGGAGACUGGAAUUCCUGGUGUAGCGGUGAAAUGCGCAGAUAUCAGGAGGAACACCGGUGGCGAAGGCGGGUCUCUGGGCCGAAACUGACGCUGAGGAGCGAAAGCGUGGGGAGCGAACAGGAUUAGAUACCCUGGUAGUCC